GUCUACGGCCAUACCACCCUGAACGCGCCCGAUCUCGUCUGAUCUCGGAAGCUAAGCAGGGUCGGGCCUGGUUAGUACUUGGAUGGGAGACAUCUUGACUGUAAUGU
rnacentral:rRNA from 1 species